GACGAACGCUGGCGGCGUGCUUAACACAUGCAAGUGGAGCGACGAACCGGGGCUUGCCCCGGGGCAGAGUCGCGAACGGGUGAGUAACACGUGGGUAACCCACCCCGAUGACCGGGACAACCCGAGGAAACUCGGGCUAAUACCGGAUGUGCUCCUUGACCCCGAGGUCAAGGCGUAAAGAUAGCUUCGGCCUUCGCAUCGGGACGGGCCCGCGGCCCAUUAGCUUGUUGGUGGGGUAACGGCCUACCAAGGCGACGAUGGGAGCUGGUCUGAGAGGACGAUCAGCCACACUGGGACUGAGACACGGCCCAGACUCCUACGGGAGGCAGCAGUGGGGAAUCUUGCGCAAUGCGCGAAAGCGUGACGCAGCAACGCCG
rnacentral:rRNA from 1 species